AUUGAACGCUGGCGGCAGGCCUAACACAUGCAAGUCGAACGAGUGGCGGACGGGUGAGUGAUGUCUGGGAAACUGCCUGAUGGAGGGGGAUAACUACUGGAAACGGUAGCUAAUACCGCCUACCAUCGGAUGUGCCCAGAUGGGAUUAGCUAGGAGGUUGGGUAAAGGCUCACCUAGGCGACGAUCCCUAGCUGGUCUGAGAGGAUGACCAGCCACACUGGAACUGAGCCACGGUCCGGACUCCUGCGGGAGGCAGGAGUGGGGAGUAGUGCACAAUGGGCGCAAGCCGGAUGCAGCCAUGCCGCGUGGAUGAAGAGGGCCUUCGGGUUGUAAAGUCCUUUCAGCGGGGAGGCGUUACCAUCAGAAGAAGCACCGGCUAACUCCGUGCCAGCAGCCGCGGUAAUAC
rnacentral:rRNA from 1 species